GGAGAUGUACCUCAGUGAUAGAGGAUUUAUCUAGAAUGUAUACGGCCCUAGGUUCAAUUGCAUCUCCA
rnacentral:tRNA from 1 species